UUUUUUUUUUUUAGAAGUCUGAGUCAAAAUAAAUGUCUUCCUUUGGAAAUUAUUUGGUCUUGGACACUCCGUUCUACAAACAGAAAAUGAUGAAGAUGGCUAAGUAGAGGUGAAAGCAGAUUAAAGUGAAAAGGAGAAACAAGGUUGACAAGAAAUGGAGCCAUAUAACUUCUGAGAGGCAGCAAAAGGAAGGUGGUCUUUCUUGCCAGAUAACCCCAGCCAGGAGCAUCAUGGGAAGGGAGGUGUUAGGAGGAACUGUUGGCACUGGGCUGUUUUUCUUUAGUAGUAGAUGGGAAAAGGCCAGUUGUUCUCUCCCCUGCUGAGGCUCCCUCGGCUUGGAUUUAAAACCACCUGGCUCUCACAGACUCACAAAUGCCAGACGUUUGAAUCAAUCAUGCCCGAUUUCCUUAUGUGAAAGAGGCCUGGUUGGGUAAUUAUUAAAAUGCAAUAGGAUGUGUUGCAUAAUGCUCGGCAGAAAGAGCUGUAUCCAUUAGUGUAUUAAUGAUGUACAGGACCGAAGGUCUACUUGACUCCUGUUCUUGCUGGUAAGGAAUGGAAGGCAUGCCAGACCCAUUAUCCACCUGAGAGGAACCUAUCUGAAAGAAAUUCAAGAUUCCAGCAGGAAACCUUAGAUAAGGAAGGCCUUUUAAAGCAGAAUUGAGAGUUGAGAAGAGCAGCGUCAAAACCUUUGCCUUGCUGUGGUUAGAGAAUAAAAAGGAAAUAAAUGCAUGCAGUCA